CGCCUCCCCACGCCCAGCCCCGCACCUCCCCACCUUGCGCGCCCAGCCCGGGCUACGCUUUCCUUCCGGGGAAAGAGAAAAGGUCCCGGCUCCGCCACCGCCUCUUAAAGGCGCAGCACCGCCCCUCCCUCCUCAUCCUCCCUAACCGGCUCCGCCCUCUCCCCCAAACACCUGUCGGGAGCCCCCAGAGGCUUGGAUUUCCCCUCCCCGCCUCUUUCUUCUCCGGAGAAACGUUGCCUCCCGAGCAAGACGGAUUGGACAGGCGGGGCCAGGGGUGGAAUUUGUCCUGCCGCUUGGCUGCGGCUGCUACAGCUGGUGGAAAGGCCGUUCCGAACGCAGCCACCUCUGCGGGUCGGCUGAAGAGGCCCAGCGUUGGCGUAUCUGGGACCCGACAUCCGCAAGGCACUGGCUGGAACGCCCUACUCGUCUCCACCGCGCUCCUCGUCUCAUCCCUCAGUUGACGUUAUCCUGCCAACUCUUCCUGGUGGAGAAGGGACCCACCUAGAAAUGUAGACACAGAGAACAGCACGUGUAUGGACGAGUCCGAGGCCAUUUUUUCAUGCUUGACUGCUGACUCCUUUUAAGCUGUCCUCGCUCCCUCUUUUCCUUGUGCCUCACACCUGGACAAGCUCAGAAGAAGGCCCGCGCUCCCUUCUUUUCCGUCCAUGGCAGAUUCCAACCAUGCAAACCCCUUUCCACACAAAUGCACCUGACCUAUCUCCCUCACCGUAGUAAAAACCCAGGCCAAUCUCCUUCCGUGCUCUCUCAAGGCAUCUUGGACCUUCUUGAGAAGCCAUCCCUGCUCCUUCAGAGACCUCGAAUCAUGUCAUUAAUAAACCUUUCCCUACCCUC